rnacentral:rRNA from 1 species
UACAGGGGGUGCAAACGUUGCUCGGAAUUAUUGGGCGUAAAGCGCGCGUAGGCGGCUACUUAAGUCGGAUGUGAAAGCCCCUGGCUUAACUGGGGAAGUGCACCCGAAACUGAGUAGCUAGAGUGCGAAAGAGGGUCGCGGAAUUCCCGGUGUAGAGGUGAAAUUCGUAGAUAUCGGGAGGAACACCGGUGGCGAAGGCGGCGACCUGGGUCGACACUGACGCUGAGGCGCGAAAGCGUGGGGAGCAAACAGG